AAAUCCGUCGACUUUAGAAAUCGUGAG
rnacentral:tRNA from 35 species